rnacentral:rRNA from 1 species
GGUUAAGCGACUAAGCGUACACGGUGGAUGCCCUGGCAGUCAGAGGCGAUGAAGGACGUGCUAAUCUGCGAAAAGCGUCGGUAAGGUGAUAUGAACCGUUAUAACCGGCGAUGUCCGAAUGGGGAAACCCAGUGUGAUUCGUCACACUAUCGUUAACUGAAUACAUAGGUUAACGAGGCGAACCGGGGGAACUGAAACAUCUAAGUACCCCGAGGAAAAGAAAUCAACCGAGAUUCCCCCAGUAGCGGCGAGCGAACGGGGAGCAGCCCAGAGUCUGAAUCAGCUUGUGUGUUAGUGGAACGGUCUGGAAAGUCCGACGGUACAGGGUGAUAGUCCCGUACACCAAAAUGCACAGGCUGUGAACUCGAAGAGUAGGGCGGGACACGUGGUAUCCUGUCUGAAUAUGGGGGGACCAUCCUCCAAGGCUAAAUACUCCUGACUGACCGAUAGUGAACCAGUACCGUGAGGGAAAGGCGAAAAGAACCCCGGCGAGGGGAGUGAAAAAGAACCUGAAACCGUGUACGUACAAGCAGUGGGAGCACCUUCGGGUGUGACUGCGUACCUUUUGUAUAAUGGGUCAGCGACUUAUAUUCUGUAGCAAGGUUAACCGUAUAGGGGAGCCGCAGGGAAACCGAGUCUUAACUGGGCGUUAAGUUGCAGGGUAUAGACCCGAAACCCGGUGAUCUAGCCAUGGGCAGGUUGAAGGUUGGGUAACACUAACUGGAGGACCGAACCGACUAAUGUUGAAAAAUUAGCGGAUGACUUGUGGCUGGGGGUGAAAGGCCAAUCAAACCGGGAGAUAGCUGGUUCUCCCCGAAAGCUAUUUAGGUAGCGCCUCGUGAACUCAUCUUCGGGGGUAGAGCACUGUUUCGGCUAGGGGGUCAUCCCGACUUACCAACCCGAUGCAAACUACGAAUACCGAAGAAUGUUAUCACGGGAGACACACGGCGGGUGCUAACGUCCGUCGUGAAGAGGGAAACAACCCAGACCGCCAGCUAAGGUCCCAAAGUCAUGGUUAAGUGGGAAACGAUGUGGGAAGGCACAGACAGCCAGGAUGUUGGCUUAGAAGCAGCCAUCAUUUAAAGAAAGCGUAAUAGCUCACUGGUCGAGUCGGCCUGCGCGGAAGAUGUAACGGGGCUAAACCAUGCACCGAAGCUGCGGCAGCGACACUAUGUGUUGUUGGGUAGGGGAGCGUUCUGUAAGCCUGCGAAGGUGUGCUGUGAGGCAUGCUGGAGGUAUCAGAAGUGCGAAUGCUGACAUAAGUAACGAUAAAGCGGGUGAAAAGCCCGCUCGCCGGAAGACCAAGGGUUCCUGUCCAACGUUAAUCGGGGCAGGGUGAGUCGACCCCUAAGGCGAGGCCGAAAGGCGUAGUCGAUGGGAAACAGGUUAAUAUUCCUGUACUUGGUGUUACUGCGAAGGGGGGACGGAGAAGGCUAUGUUAGCCGGGCGACGGUUGUCCCGGUUUAAGCAUGUAGGCUGGUUGUCCAGGCAAAUCCGGAUAAUCAAGGCUGAGGUGUGAUGACGAGGCACUACGGUGCUGAAGUAACAAAUGCCCUGCUUCCAGGAAAAGCCUCUAAGCAUCAGGUAACAUUAAAUCGUACCCCAAACCGACACAGGUGGUCAGGUAGAGAAUACCAAGGCGCUUGAGAGAACUCGGGUGAAGGAACUAGGCAAAAUGGUGCCGUAACUUCGGGAGAAGGCACGCUGGUGUGUAGGUGAAGUCCCUGCGGAUGGAGCUGAGACCAGUCGAAGAUACCAGCUGGCUGCAACUGUUUAUUAAAAACACAGCACUGUGCAAACACGAAAGUGGACGUAUACGGUGUGACGCCUGCCCGGUGCCGGAAGGUUAAUUGAUGGGGUUAUCCGUAAGGAGAAGCUCUUGAUCGAAGCCCCGGUAAACGGCGGCCGUAACUAUAACGGUCCUAAGGUAGCGAAAUUCCUUGUCGGGUAAGUUCCGACCUGCACGAAUGGCGUAAUGAUGGCCAGGCUGUCUCCACCCGAGACUCAGUGAAAUUGAACUCGCUGUGAAGAUGCAGUGUACCCGCGGCAAGACGGAAAGACCCCGUGAACCUUUACUAUAGCUUGACACUGAACAUUGAGCCUUGAUGUGUAGGAUAGGUGGGAGGCUUUGAAGCGUGGACGCCAGUCUGCGUGGAGCCAACCUUGAAAUACCACCCUUUAAUGUUUGAUGUUCUAACGUUGGCCCCUGACCGGGGUUGCGGACAGUGUCUGGUGGGUAGUUUGACUGGGGCGGUCUCCUCCCAAAGCGUAACGGAGGAGCACGAAGGUUAGCUAAUCCUGGUCGGACAUCAGGAGGUUAGUGCAAUGGCAUAAGCUAGCUUGACUGCGAGCGUGACGGCGCGAGCAGGUGCGAAAGCAGGUCAUAGUGAUCCGGUGGUUCUGAAUGGAAGGGCCAUCGCUCAACGGAUAAAAGGUACUCCGGGGAUAACAGGCUGAUACCGCCCAAGAGUUCAUAUCGACGGCGGUGUUUGGCACCUCGAUGUCGGCUCAUCACAUCCUGGGGCUGAAGUAGGUCCCAAGGGUAUGGCUGUUCGCCAUUUAAAGUGGUACGCGAGCUGGGUUUAGAACGUCGUGAGACAGUUCGGUCCCUAUCUGCCGUGGGCGCUGGAGAAUUGAGGGGGGCUGCUCCUAGUACGAGAGGACCGGAGUGGACGCAUCACUGGUGUUCGGGUUGUCAUGCCAAUGGCACUGCCCGGUAGCUAAAUGCGGAAGAGAUAAGUGCUGAAAGCAUCUAAGCACGAAACUUGCCCCGAGAUGAGUUCUCCCUGAGACUUUAAGUCUCCUGAAGGAACGUUAAAGACGAUGACGUUGAUAGGCCGGGUGUGUAAGCGCAGCGAUGCGUUGAGCUAACCGGUACUAAUGAACCGUGAGGCUUAACCUU